rnacentral:rRNA from 1 species
GAUGAACGCUAGCGGCAGGCUUAAUACAUGCAAGUCGUGGGGCAGCAUGAAUGUAGCAAUACAUUUGAUGGCGACCGGCAAACGGGUGCGGAACACGUACACAACCUUCCUAUAAGUGGGGAAUAGCCCAGAGAAAUUUGGAUUAAUACCCCGUAACAUAACGAUGUGGCAUCACAUUGUUAUUAUAGCUUCGGCGCUUAUUGAUGGGUGUGCGGCUGAUUAGAUAGUUGGCGGGGUAACGGCCCACCAAGUCUACGAUCAGUAGCUGAUGUGAGAGCAUGAUCAGCCACACGGGCACUGAGACACGGGCCCGACUCCUACGGGAGGCAGUAGUAAGGAAUAUUGGUCAAUGGACGCAAGUCUGAACCAGCCAUGCCGCGUGAAGGAUUAAGGUCCUCUGGAUUGUAAACUUCUUUUAUCUGGGACGAAAAAAGGCUAUUCUUAGUCACUUGACGGUACCAGAUGAAUAAGCACCGGCUAACUCCGUGCCAGCAGCCGCCGUAAAAC